rnacentral:rRNA from 1 species
CCCGCUCGCCGGAAGACCAAGGGUUCCUGUCCAACGUUAAUCGGGGCAGGGUGAGUCGACCCCUAAGGCGAGGCCGAAAGGCGUAGUCGAUGGGAAACAGGUUAAUAUUCCUGUACUUGGUGUUACUGCGAAGGGGGGACGGAGAAGGCUAUGUUAGCCGGGCGACGGUUGUCCCGGUUUAAGCAUGUAGGCUGGUUAUCCAGGCAAAUCCGGAUAAUCAAGGCUGAGGUGUGAUGACGAGGCACUACGGUGCUGAAGUAACAAAUGCCCUGCUUCCAGGAAAAGCCUCUAAGCAUCAGGUAACAUCAAAUCGUACCCCAAACCGACACAGGUGGUCAGGUAGAGAAUACCAAGGCGCUUGAGAGAACUCGGGUGAAGGAACUAGGCAAAAUGGUGCCGUAACUUC